UUGGCCAAUUUCAAAUGGUUGCUGUCACACACUCUUCGCUCUGACGCGACAAUCCGUGCGCUUUCCUCGCGCGCGGACAACGGACACAGGUUCAGCACCACACUGAGGUGGACAGCAUGCUAACGGACAGACCCGAGAACAGAGCACUCGUCUCUCCUAUAGAGACAGACAAAGCUUCCCUCCGUAGAGUAAGUGCAUAAGGAGGAGAAAGUAUUCACCGGCACCGGGUGGAUCCCUGCCUUUCAAGGAGACAGCAUGGCCAGGAGAGUUCUACUUAAAAUGUUACUCUCAACGAUUCGAUAAUAUCGAGAGGGAUUUCGGAAAAGUGCCAACGAAGGAUUCGGACGGCUUGUCUGUGAUUUGUUUUAUAGCCUAGGAUUUAGAUAAGUUACUCGGGGGAAUGGAGAAGCCGGUCCAGUCUCAGCUGCAGUCCAAGAGCUCAGAAGGUCCGUCAGAGGAUCUUUGCAAACUUACGGAUGAUGAGCUUAUGAAAUGGAGUAAGGAGGAGCUGGUACGCCGGCUGCGAAGAGCCGAAGCCGAGAAAAUGAGCGCUAUAGUGGACCACAGCAAUCUCAUCCGAGAGGUGAACCGCAGGCUUCAGCAGCACCUGAACGAGAUCCGAGGGCUGAAGGAAGUGAAUCAGAAGCUGCAAGAGGAUAACCAGGAGCUGAGGGAUCUCUGCUGCUUUCUGGAUGACGAUCGACAGAAAGGGAAAAAAGUGUCGAGGGAGUGGCAGCGCCUGGGCCGUUACAGUGCAGGAAUCAUGCGUAAGGAAGUCACAUUGUACCUGCAGAAGCUGAAGGAGUUGGAGCAGCGUCAGGAGGAGGUGGUGAAGGAGAACCUGGAACUGAGGGAGUUGUGCCUCAUGCUGGACGAGGAGAAGGGCUCUGGUAGUACUGUUGGGUCAGUGGGUACCGGGGGUCCAGCCGGCUGCAGGAAUUCAAUCGAUAGCCAGAGCAGCCUGUCUCACGCCAGUGGUCCAGGGCCUGGACUCCUUAGAGAUGUGGGUGAUGGGAGCAGUACCUCCAGCGCGGGCAGCACUGACAGCCCUGACCAUCUCACUCAUAAGCAGCAGCUGUUGGGCGGCCCCGCUGGAGGCAGUCCUGACCACCUGCAUAAGCCAGGCUCUGGGGAGGAGGCACCAAGUUCUGAGCACGUAGGCCGAAGACAUAGCACAAGCCAGGAGUACACAGCGCAUACCUUUCCCCAGGUGUGCCGCUCUCGUUGUGGGUCCUUCUCCAGUCCAGACCACAAGGGCUUGAGGGGGCUCAGUCCUGAGAAACUUGGGAAGAACCUUUCCAGAGGCAGUCCAGAGCAGUUCUCGAAACACCUGCUGGUGUCUUCUCAGCCGUCUGGCAAUCCUGACCUUUACCGAAAGCAUCGGGGAAGCAUGGGUAGUGUGUGUGGGAGUCCGGACCCCAAACAGAUUCUAUCAGGGACACCAGAACACCUCCAGAAGGGCCGUGUCAUUUCUGGGAGCCCCGAGAUGUUACGGCACUCCUACGGUGUCAGCCACGAGCACGGGAAAUUUGGCAGCCCUGGCCGGGAGGUGGCACAGAAGAGGCCGGGCGGAGAAGAGAUGUCCCCUCAUCAUCGGAACAUCUAUAGCGGUAUGAACGGUGGGUCUGACUGGAGCCUGCUCUAGCACCCACAGUGAUACAUGGAGUUCCCAUUGAACACACCACAUGCCGUCCUUAAUCACGGAGGGUGCAUCAUUGCCAGCAAGGCAAUUCUCAGCCAGGCACUAAACCAUGCCAUUAAGCCAUCCAUGAUCAGCAUUUAGUUUAGUUUAUCUUUGCUCAGUUCAGGAGAGUCAAUGAGAAGAUUUAGUUUUAGUUUCUGGCUAGAGCAGAACAUCACAUCUCUGGUAAAGGUCGGUGGUGUCCAGUCUUGGUACUUUUGGGUUAUAAUUUUUGGCAGGCUUUAGCUGCCUCCUAUCAAUCAGCAUGUGCCUCCGAAUCCAUUUUUAUGCUCUGGAACCAGCUGAGGGGACACUGUAAUGAAUCAAAGACCAAAAUGCCCAGCAAAAGCCAGAAGACAGUGUUUCCCACCAGGACCAGGAGUGGACACCAUUGUAUUUACCAUAUGCACCAAGCUCUGAUAUCGGCUGGCUGUUGCACCGGCUCCUGCAGAAGUGUCAAGCUUUGGGACAGUUUUGAUGCUUCUUGACCAUUGCCUUGACUGGAUCCAGUUGUGGAAACCAGGCCAUGAGAGAUGGUCAUUGUGAUUUCAUAUCACCUGCACUGACAAAAAGUUGGAAAAGGAAAACUGCAGUAGCCGGCAUUACCCACCCAUCGUGCUGGUUCUGGUCUUCUAAUACAACUUACAACCCUGCACAACAAAAGCCUGAAGGAGAUAUUUCUUAGGAGUCAAACAGCUGAAAAUAAGAUUGCCAAAAGGAUUUCUCAAAUCGAUAUUAAGAUCGUUCUUUUGCCAACAAAAUAGACCUACCUCCUUUAUACGAAAACAGAUGAAACGGUACUGAGAGGCUAGUGCCCAUUUUGUUUACAGUUGCCACAAAAACACAAACAAUCAAAUGACACUUUUGCACAUACAGGCAAACAUUUAUUAUCAGAUUGGUCUCAUGCACCUUAGGCUUUGUUCAGACAGGCAGAAAAAAUCUGAUACUUUAUGUAUCUGACAUUUAUCUGUUUAGAUUUGUGUAGUUUGUUCAGCCAAAAAGCACAGAAAAUCUGACAUAUUUAUAAACUUAUUCCAAAACGCAUUUAAAAUGAAAUUUUGUGACAGUUAGAUAUCAAGUAGUGUUUCAUCAUUUAAGACACGGUCGCCGAGACAAGUUUUCUGUCCUCUCUUUUCCACAGCUGCUCUUGUUGUACAAGAAAGUCCCUUUGGCAUCGUGCUGACGCUAAUAUCAUUUCCAUAGCAACCGAUGUAGAAGAUCGCAUUUAAAACCCAAGUGGGAUUUACUGUAUAUGCUGUGUGAACAAAGCCUAAGAACAAAGACAGCAUUUCUUAAGCUAUACUGAAGUUCAAUUGGACAUUUUGAAUUUUACAAUUUUAAACGAUUAUGAAAAUGAUAUCAGUCACUGCCUGGCUUUCAUUGUGUGAUGACCUUUAAUGUACUGCGUUGACUUAUGGCCAUUUGUAGAGUAUGGUAAUUUGACGUUCAAGAUGUCUAUACUGAGAAAUCUCCAUCGGAGCAGAAAGGUCCACCAAAGUCCCAACUGUCUCCGAAUGUCCUAUAAUCUUUCUGUAGGCGCAGUGUUGUGUUUGUGUGAAAGAAGCACAUAGAAAUCUGCUGCUGCAUCCAAGACUUGUGUAGCCAGACGCUGUAGGCUUCUCUUGUGUCGAGUCCCUCUGCGUCUGGUGUUUCUGCCCUCACUGCUGCCGAAAUCAAGCGGCCCGAUCACGAAGCUUAAUAUAAGCUCCACAAAUCCUGAUCAUUUAAAUGCUUUGUGAAAUUGCCAAACCCCAUUUCAUCGGUCAACAUUAAAAUGAGAUUUUGUUCUCCAUCUGUUUGUGGACCAUGGACCAGCAUAAUUGAGAGGCAAAAUCAGACUUGUGCAUAUCCCACUGUUCCUCUGGACAAUUUGCAGCAUCAUGCCUCUCUUAUUAGCAGGUAUUUCACAGAACCUCCUCUGGCUGACAGUGCAAACCAUAAACACUUUUGUUCUCAGUAUUUUUGCAUUUACUUUAAGGAGAGUUUUGCUCAGCCGCCAUCACACACAUCAAGUCUCUUGUAUACCGUCAGUAUUUAAUACAGCAAAUGCUACUUGAUAAACUCAUUAACCUGUGAUCUUUUUUAUUUUUGUUGACAGAUUAUAAAACAGAACAGAUAUUAAUAUAUAAAACCUUUAUGUUUUUAAAAAAUAAAGAAUAGUUUAAGGCUUAGUUUUUUAUAUAUAACUAUAAUUAUUAUUUUUGACGUACUGGUAUUAUUGAAUCUAUAAAUAUUAU